CAGUAGCCACGGGAAUACGGAGGGAGCUAGCGUUGUUCGGAAUUACUGGGCGUAAAGCGCGCGUAGGCGGUUACUCAAGUCAGAGGUGAAAGCCCGGGGCUCAACCCCGGAACUGCCUUUGAAACUAGGUGACUAGAAUCUUGAGAGGUCAGUGGAAUUCCGAGUGUAGAGGUGAAAUUCGUAGAUAUUCGGAAGAACACCAGUGGCGAAGGCGACUGACUGGACAAGUAUUGACGCUGAGGUGCGAAAGCGUGGGGAGCAAACAGGAUUAGAUACCCCCGUAGUCCCUGUCUCUUAUACA
rnacentral:rRNA from 1 species